CAAUAGCGUAUAUUAAAGUUGUUGCAGUUAAAAAGCUCGUAGUUGGAUUUCUGGUACAACGCGCCUGGCCCGCUUACGUGAGUGCCGGUGCGCGUUUGCCAUCCUUCUAGAAAACGUCUCUACUCGGGCAACUGAGCCGGAUUCGCGAUCUAGAUCUUUUACUUUUGAAAAAAUUAGAGUGUUUAAAGCAGGCUAUUGCCUUGAAUACAUUAGCAUGGAAUAAUAAUCUAGGACUUCGGUUCUAUUUUGUGGUUUCUAGUACUGAAGUAAUGAUUGAUAGGGAUAGUUGGGGGUGCUAGUAUUGACCGGCCAGAGGUGAAAUUCUUGGAUUUGUUAAAGACGGACUACUGCGAAAGCAUUUGCCAAGGAUGUUUUUCAUUGAUCAAGAACGAAAGUUAGGGGAUCGAAGAUGAUUAGAUACCG
rnacentral:rRNA from 1 species